AGCACACGCGCGCACACCCGCGUGGAGACGGCUGUCCUCGCCCGUCUGCCCCGCGCCCCAGCUGGGACUCACCGUUGUCCAGGCGCGCGAUCUGGGGCAGCCGGUAAGUGCUGACCAGGAGGUCGAGCGGCACGGCCACCGAGCUCCACUUCACAUCCUUGAGGCUGCAGCCCAGCGAGGGCGCCGGGUCCAUCUUCCCCGAAGCCUCCUGUCCCGCGCUCCCCCGCCGCCGCCACCGGCACCACCCGCGCCUCGGCGGCCGCCGCUGCUCGCGCUCGCGGUCUGGGGCGCGCGGGAGGCGCCGGGCAGCUCCGGCCGCGGGCAGCCGGGGGGGCGCGGCGACUGGGGCGGCCCGGAGGGAGGGGGCCGGCGCCCGGCUCAGCUGCCGCUGCGGGGCAUGGCUGGGGCGCCCCGCGUGCCCUCACGCCCGGAGAAGACUCAGAGCAGCCGCGCGGCUGCGGGCGGCGGCGGCGGCCCGGGUGGCUGCGGCGGCUCCCGCUCCGCCUCCUCCUCUGGCCCUGGGUCUGCAGCUGCGGCGGCCGCCCGCUCGCCUCCUCCUCCUCUUACCCCUCCUUCCCUCCGCCUCGAGCGUGUGAGGAGGAGCCGCGGGUCUGAGAAACGCCAUAGCAGCGCUCCCAGCACUGA
rnacentral:lncRNA from 1 species